GAUGGGAAGAAACUUAAUGUUUUGGGGAAGCUGAAUGUUUACGUGGAGCUGAACGGGAUUAAUCAACACGUUGACCUGGUGGUGUUAAGAUGCUGUAAUGAUUUUGUGCCUUUGAUGGGUCGAACAUGGCUGGAUGUGUUCUGCGACGGCUGGAGAAACCUUUUUGCCAAAUCAUCUGCACCGAGGUUGAACGUCAAUUCGAUAAAAGAGGAGAAAAUUGUGCAGGAAAUAAUAAGUCAUAUUCAACGGAAGAAUUAUUUUGGCGCAUAGGCGGCAAUUGAAAUUGGCCCCCAAGAUUCAACGAAGAGCAACAGUAAAUUUUGUCAUCAACGAAGAAAUCAACACAUUGUCACCUGAACAUGGAUCGCAUAACUCAAAAAGAAGAAGGGAGGAGAAUGAUGAAAUGGACCAGUUUGCUUCUGAUACCAGUUCUGAUUUUUAUGGUUUUCCGGCAGAGUCGUUCAUAUACAACAACGCUGAGCAAAUGGACAACACGGAAGGCAUU